rnacentral:tRNA from 1 species
AGCGAUGUGGCGCAGAGGUAGCGUGUCUGGCUCAUAACCAGAAGGUCAGUGGAUCAAAACCACUCAUCGCUA